GCCUAGAGGUUGUAGCAGCCGUGAGUUACGCUGUGGCAUAAUGUAUACCACGUGCGAUUGUGUGAAGCGAAAUGGUUUACAGGACAAGUGCCCCCGAGCAAUGUGUCAAGGACGUCCUGCAUGCCUGUGCUUUCCAUUUCCGACAUGUUGCCCAGCUUCGUUCCCACUACGUUUUGCGAACAUGACCAUGGGCGUCAACAACAAGCGCAUGCGGUGUGCCGCUACCGGAGCUUCCUGCGGCGGUGGCAGCGGGCGCGCUUGCGGAGGAUGCAGUUCAGGUGGCGGUUGUGGCCCUUGCUGUGGUACAUGUCCAUGUGCUUCACGUUAUCUUAUUUGUAAAGAUAAUGCACCUUGCAUAUGGUGCUCACCAUGUAAAGCCCAUUGCUAUAAUACACCUCCGAAAUGUUGAUGUUAGCGAGAUGGGUACCGGACUCAGACAACUCUCCAUGUAAUUUUAUUUUUUGAGAAAUAGAGCAUGAUGCAAUCAACAUUUGAGGUGUCUGUCUGGGUCAGGGUUAGUGCAAAAAAUACAUACUAUUAUGUGGUUUCUAGAAAUGAUCUUGGCUUGAUCGUCAAACCAUAUCAGUACACAUCUCGCGAUCGGUUAUUGCAUUGAAUACCACAGAUUGAGAUAUGAAAUUCCUAAAGAACUGAACACAACAGCGGUCAAAGGAUUUGUUUAGUGGAUUACAUACAUAUUGGUUGACAAAAGUUGCAGCACCCACUUGAUUAUGGAUGUUUUGAUCUCAAAACGAUAGAUCAGUAGCCCGUUGCAACAAUAUCGCUCAAGUACCCAGCCGCGAUGCUUUUGUAAUAAUUACAGUAACUUGGUAUGAAUAUAUUCAAAAUUUUUAGUAAAAAUUUUUUAUGAUUUAAA